GGGGCGGCGGGCGGGCGCUGCGCUGCCGGCACAGCGGUAUGGCGGCGGGCCCGGGGCGCGGCGGCGGCAGCGGCGGCUGGGGCCGGAGCCGGAGCGCCGUCCUGCUACUCUUCUUCUCGCUGUCGCCGCGGCCGCCGGCCGGGGCCGCCUGGCUGCUGGGGCUGCGGCCCGAGGACACGACGCCGGGCCGGGUGUCCCUGGAAGGCGGCGCGGUGCAGGCGGCGGAGGGCAGCCGCUUCCUGCUGCGCCUCUACUUCCAGCCGCCGCCCGAGGGCAACGGCAGCCGCGGGCCGGCGGGGGAGCGGGAGCCGCGGCUGGUGUUCAUCGAAGAGGCGGCGGCGGGGAGCACGGCGGCGCGGGGCCCGGCGGAGCGGUGCCGGGAGCGCAGCGCCUGGGCCUCGGACGUGGAGGUGGUGGGGCCGCUGCGCUCGGGGGGUGCGGCGGGAUCGGCGCUGGCCGAGGUGCGGGUGCGGGAGCCGCGCAAGGGCGAAGCGCCGGCGGCGCCGGGCGGGCGGGUGUUCUCUCUGUGCGCCUGGGACGGGCGGGCCUGGGCGCACCACGGUGCGGCGGGAGGCUUCUUGCUGCGGGUACAGCCGGCUACCCCGGCGCUGGGCACCUGGCUGCUGCCGCUGCCCGAGGAGGGCUGGCUGCGGGCGCUGGGCGCCCUGCUGCUGCUGGGGCUGUCGGCGCUGUUCAGCGGGCUGCGCCUCUCGCUGCUCUCCCUGGACCCGCUGGAGCUCCGCGUCCUGCGCAACAGCGGCUCGGCCGCCGAGCGGGAGCAGGCGCGGCGGGUGCAGGCGGUGCGAGGCGGCGGCGGCACCUACCUGCUGUGCACUCUGCUGCUGGGGCAGGCGGGGGCCAACGCGGCGCUGGCCGGCUGGCUCUGCGCCUCGCUGCCCGGCGGCGGGCCGGCGGUGGCGGCCGGCGGGCCCCGGGGAGCGCCCUGGCUGCCGGUGGUGCUGUGCGCCGCCGCCGUGUUCCUGGGCGGCGAGGUGUUGCCCUACUCGGUCUGCUCGCGGCACGGGCUGGCCAUCGCCUCCCGCACCCUCUGCCUCACCCGGCUGCUGAUGCUGGCCGCCUUCCCCCUCUGCUACCCGCUCAGCCGGUUGCUGGACUGGGCGCUGCGACAGGAGCUCAGCGUCUUCUCUACGCGGGAGCGGCUGCUGGAGACGUUGCGCGCCGCUGGCCCCCACGGCGACCUGGUGCGAGAGGAGUUGGCCAUGGUGCAGGGCGCGCUGGAGUUGCGCACCAAGGUGGUGGAGGAUGUGCUGACGCCGCUGGCGGACUGCUUCAUGCUCCGGGCCGAUGCCGUGCUGGACUUCGCCACCGUCUCCGAGAUCCUCCGUUCUGGCUACACCCGCAUCCCGGUCUAUGAGGGUGACCGGCGCGACAACAUUGUCGACCUGCUCUUUGUCAAGGACCUGGCCUUUGUCGACCCCGAUGACUGCACUCCCCUGCAGACUGUCACCCGCUUCUACCGCCGCCCACUGCACUGUGUCUUCAAUGACACACGCCUCGACACACUACUUGAGGAGUUCAAGAAGGGAAAGUCCCACUUGGCCAUUGUACAGCGGGUGAACAACGAAGGGGAAGGAGACCCAUUCUACGAGGUGAUGGGCAUUGUCACCCUGGAAGACGUCAUUGAGGAGAUCAUCAAGUCCGAGAUCCUGGAUGAGACGGAUCUGUACACGGACAAUCGGAAGAAGGAGCGGGUUCCCCACCGGGGACGCAAGCCCCAGGAUUUCUCCAUCUUCAGGCUCUCAGAGAGUGAGAUGAAGGUGAAGAUCUCCCCACAGCUCCUCCUGGCUACCCAUCGGUUCAUGGCAACAGAAGUGGAACCUUUCAAGUCCCCCUACCUCUCUGAGAAGAUCCUGCUGCGGCUCCUAAAACACCCCAAUGUAAUCCAGGAGCUCAAGUACGACCGAAAGAACAAGAAGGCAGCAGAGCAUUACCUCUACCAGCGCAACCGCCCCGUCGACUACUUUGUCCUCAUCCUGCAGGGGAAAGUGGAGGUGGAGGUUGGCAAGGAAGGACUGCGGUUUGAGAAUGGAGCAUUCACUUACUAUGGUGUCCCUGCCAUCAUGGCUGUUGUCUCCUCAGCUCCAACUGUUGUUUCAGAUAAUGAUGUGCGAAAAGUGGGAAGCCUGGCUGGAUCUUCCUUCCUACUGCCUGUCUCAGUGUCCCGUACCUUCGCCUUCAGCAGAGGGGACUCCCUGGCUGGCUCUCCAGUGAACAGGUCCCCGUCACGGUGCAGCGGGCUCAACCGCUCCGAGUCCCCCAACCGGGAAGACUAUGGGGGCAGCAGCACACAACUCCACAGCAGCAGCAACAACAUCUACACACCCGACUACUCCGUGCACAUCCUCUGCGAUGUGCAGUUUGUCAAGGUGACUCGGCAGCAGUACCACAAUGCACUGGUGGCCAGCCGCAUGGACAGCUCACCCCAGUCCCCUGACAUGGAGGCCUUCGACAGGGAUUCAACCAAGGCCUCGACCGCACGGGGAACCCCACAGACACCCAAGGAGGAUCCCACCAUCCUCUUGAACGAGAGAAACAAUGUCAUGUGCAGCCACUCCGAGGGGCUGCACAGUCCCAGCGAUUCGGUGUUCCUGCGCAUGGAGGGCAUCCCCUUCAUUCAGGAGGAGCUGGCUGACAACGAGGAGAACAUCAAGCGGCAGAUGAGUGCUGCGAGACCGUCCAGGAAGCAGAGUCCCCAGGCAGAGAGGUCGGGACCAGCUCAUCCCCGAGCAGCUCUGAGGAGACGCUGGGCAAGAGGCUGCUGAGAUCUCUCAGUGGGCGCAAGCAGCGGACAUCAUCGGAGGGUGAGAAGACACCAGAGGAAAGCUCCAAUCUUGCCCCAUUAAUUACCUGAGCAGCAAUGUGACUGGAGCACAGUGCUGGAGGCCCAUGCAGACUGGAGGUCUGCAGCAUGGGGGUCUCCUGCCAUGAGGCUCAUGUCCAACAGCAGGAGGUCUGCACUUGCUCGCUGCCUGCCCACCCACUAGUGCCGCCCCUCCCUGCAGGACUUGUGCAGAGCCCCAUCCCCAGGAGAGAAAGGAUGUGCCCCUGGCAGGGCUGAACCACCCAGGCAGCCUGGACCGGUUGCUGGAGUCCAAGGGCCCUUGCCCAGCUGCUCUCUGGUAGCAUCUGGUCUCAAGGAAGAGGUGGAAAAAGGAAAGGUGGAGAAGUGUUGGUCAUGGUGUCCCUGCAGGCAGAGCAGGGAGGGGCGGCCCAACCCAGAACUGCCCUUAGCAUCAUUUACCAUCCCCAUCCUAGCAAGGCCUGGAGCCCCUCGGUGCUGCACAGAUGUGGUCUCCACCAUGAGGAGGAUGCGCUAUUUGUGGGGUGCCACCUGGAGCUCAGGGCCCCAACACGUUUGUGCCGUGCCUGGUGACACGCACGCUUGCAGCGCCUUGCUCACGCUGACCAUCGACUCUGCCCCGCACUCCCGAGCCCCUGCUAGGCACAGGGCAGGGAGCCCCACUCACCCCUGGGGAGGGGCUGCUCCGUGCUACAUUGGACCAUCCUCCUCUCCACACAUGCCCACCUGCGUGAGGGGGGCUCGCACCAAACCUUCGGGUUGGUACAGACCAGUCAGUAGUUUUUGUAGAGGCUGAACGCAACGGGGAUAUUAAAAGUGAUUUUUCCCUGA